CAAAAGGCUUUCUUCAAAGCCAAUGCUUUGACUAUGAUGAGGUGUUU
rfam:Lupinus angustifolius cultivar Tanjil chromosome LG01, whole genome shotgun sequence.